rnacentral:lncRNA from 1 species
GUCUAGGGUGGAGAGUUGGUGGCCCUGGUGAGCCCCAAUGACUGGACACAGGACACAGAUGAGCUGCCUAUCUUCCUGGCAAUAGGUACUCAAAUCAAGCCCAUGGUCCGGACACUUCCUCUUGGCCACUCUCUCUGCUUCCAUUUCUAUUUCUGGGUCAAAUUCACUUUCUGCCUCAGUUUCUCCCUCCGCCUCGGAUUCCCCUUCUUCUUGGUUGUCUUCUUCGGCCUCGCUUUCUUGCUCAUCCUCCAUUUCUUCCUCGCUGUCUUCUUCACUCUCCUCAUCGCUCUCAUCCUCACUCUCUUCCUCUGUCUCGCUCUCUUCCUCUGACUCGCUCUCUUCCUCCGACUCACUCUCUUCCCCUGCCUCGCUUUCUAUCUCCCUCUCCUGCUCCACCUUGACCUCCGCUUCUUCCUUCCCCGCCCCCUCUCCGUCAGCUGGCGGGGUCCAGGCCUGGGAGCCGUGGACGUAUUCGGCCAGAUGGUGACUGAGGAACUUCUGCCUGUGCGCCUCGGC